rnacentral:lncRNA from 13 species
CUCUCCUUUCUCUCUGUCAGUCACGGUGAUGGUAACAGUUUUGUCACCCGGUUGGUGAACUUAGAUCCUGAGCAGAUAGCUGUGGGCCUCCAGAUCAACGGCAAAAGCUCUGUAGAUUGUGCUGCAAGCCCCAAGCAUGUCCUUGGCGACACCAUCAACCACAUUGAGGACCAUCAGGAUGGCAGCUUCGACAAAACAGAUGUAGCCGAGACAGUCACAGUCACCAUAGAGAGCGAGUCAUAGACAGGUAAGCCUAUGGAUGACUCCCGCUGAAGUGUGCGCGUUUCCUACAGAGCUUAGGGAUGAAACUGAUGACCACCCAUGAUCUUUGAUUACCGAGUUGGCUCAAAUCUGCCAAGAGACAACUGAGCCAUCAACUGUGAUGCCUUACAACCAGCAGAAUCUAAACAAAAAACACCCCUUAUCACUUGCAGC